UACAGAGGUCUCAAGCGUUGUUCGGAUUCAUUGGGCGUAAAGGGUGCGUAGGUGGCGCGGUAAGUCGGGUGUGAAAUCUCGGAGCUUAACUCCGAAAUUGCAUUCGAUACUGCCGUGCUUGAGGACUGGAGAGGAGACUGGAAUUUACGGUGUAGCGGUGAAAUGCGUAGAUAUCGUAAGGAAGACCAGUGGCGAAGGCGGGUCUCUGGACAGUUCCUGACGCUGAGGCACGAAGGUCAGGGGAGCAAAACGGG
rnacentral:rRNA from 1 species